rnacentral:sRNA from 1 species
UCACCUGGUCAGGCUCCCCGACGUUGGGCA